AAUUCGGAGCUUUCUGGAUAUCGGGUUUCCGGAUAAGGGAUCCUAUACCUGUACUAUCAUUUCUGUCCGUAAUGGCACUGAUAGCGAUUAUGUGGAAGGAUAGUGUCAAUAUUGCAGAUGGAGACAACGACUGAUAGUGAGAACAAAAGGAGGAAGAGAAAUCUACGUCCAAUGAAUCAGAGUCUGAAUAAAUCUGAUGAUUUGGAGUUUGAUAAAUCCAAGAAAUCAGCCUCAUUGUGUUAUUUGUCUGAUAAAUGUCCCUCUUAUUCUGAAGAGUAUUAGAAUGUAUUGUCCUUAUUUUGUUUGCAGGAAGGAUAGUGUCAAUAUUGCAUAUGGAGACAACAACUGAUAGUGAGAACGAAAAGGAGGAAGAGAAAUCUACGUCCGAUGAAUCAUUGUCUGAUAAAUCUGAUGAUUCGGAGUUUGAUAAAUCUGAUAAAUCCGCCUCAGAAUAUGAAAGCGAAACGAGUUCAGAAGAGGAAUCAAGUGAGAAACCUGGUUAGACAGUUGAAAGUGACUAAGAAGACUUGAAAUGUUUAUUCACCUUCAGCGAAUAUAUUUUCUGAAUAAAUACAUUUAUCAUAUACCAAAAAGAUUUUUGGAAUAAAGUCGUUUUUAUUAUUAGUGACUGAUGUGGUUGGUGAUUUAGAUUAGUGGGAGUUAGAUAUUCAUAGGUUGGGUUUACCCUUGGGUCUAGCCUGUCCUGGCAUUACAUUAUGUUCUACCAUUUAUUUACAUAAUAUUAAUAAUAAACCCUUUUCUUCCGUACAGCAGAAACGCGAGAUCUGUGCAGAGGUGAUGGCUCCCAGAUACAAUUAUUUCAUCUACAUUUUAAUAAUCAUUGGAAUGUUCAUACAGUCGUUAAAUGUGCACCAGGUAAGUGUAACAUUCUAACGGAUUUCCCUCUAGUGAUAAUGAAUGUGUUUAAAGCCAUAUAUACCCCUUUAUUGGCCACUAGUAAGCUACAUGGCUGUUCAAGCUGAACCGCUUGAGUGUGAAUAUAGAGAAUGUUUAGCGACUGUAACUGUACACUGCUUUUUACUCUUUCAGCUAUGAAAAGCCGAAAUUUCAAUGUUUUACUGAAUAGCGACGGAAUCAGAAGGCACCCAGAGAGCGGCCACAAAUUUGGGCUCUUUGUACCUCUUGUAAAGAAAGGGAACUGCACCUUGAUUAUUAAUCCCACUGAUGCCAAAGACAGCGGGGUUUUUGAAGUUUGGAUGUCACUAGAUGCAGGGCCGGAACUAGGGGUAGGCAUAGUAGGCACGUGCCUAGGGCGCAAAGCUGAGGGGGUGCCAGGCACGUACCUGCUCUGUCGCCUACCCCGUGUCCGGUCCCGUCUGCUGCUGGUGGCUUGCGCUUAAAUGCUCUUCUGCGCAUGCGCACAUAUUUUGCGCAUUGCACGGUCAAGCGCGCACAGAGCCGGCGCCGUGGCCCGCCAGGUUGCCUAGGGCGCCUGGCCGGGUUGGCCCGGCUCUGCUAGAUGGCAGGUUGCAUGAAGCCUUUUCCAAAACCAAAAUUACCAUUAAAGACCAAAAGCAAGCCUCAGGUGAGCUCUACAUGCAUCACUUUAUAUUAUUUUUAUUCUUUAUAAUAUGGAUUUAUUGGGUUAUUUAUUCUGAAGAGUAUUAGAAUGUAUUGUCCUUAUUUUGUUUGCAGGAAGGAUAGUGUCAAUAUUGCGGAUGGAGACAAAAACUGAUAGUGAGAACGAAAAGGAGGAAGAGAAAUCUACGUCCGAUGAAUCAUUGUCUGAUAAAUCUGAUUAUUCGGAGUUUGAUAAAUCUGAUAAAUCCUCCUCAGAAUAUGAAAGCGAAACGAGUUCAGAAGAGGAAUCAAGUGAGAAACCUGGUUAGACGGAUGAAAGUGACUAAGAAGACUUGAAAUGUUUAUUCACCUUCAGCGAAUAUAUUUUCUGAAUAAAUACAUUUAUCAUAUACCAAAAAGAUUUUUGGAAUAAAGUCGUUUUUAUUAUUAGUGACUGAUGUGGUUGGUGAUUUAGAUUAGUGGGAGUUAGAUAUUCAUAGGUUGGGUUUACCCUUGGGUCUAGCCUGUCCUGGCAUUACAUUAUGUUCUACCAUUUAUUUACAUAAUAUUAAUAAUAAACCCUUUUCUUCCGUACAGCAGAAACGCGAGAUCUGUGCAGAGGUGAUGGCUCCCAGAUACAAUUAUUUCAUCUACAUUUUAAUAAUCAUUGGAAUGUUCAUACAGUCGUUAAAUGUGCACCAGGUAAGUGUAACAUUCUAACGGAUUUCCCUCUAGUGAUAAUGAAUGUGUUUAAAGACAUAUAUACCCCUUUAUUGGCCACUAGUAAGCUACAUGGCUGUUCAAGCUGAACCGCUUGAGUGUGAAUAUAGAGAAUGUUUAGCGACUGUAACUGUACACUGCUUUUUACUCUUUCAGCUAUGAAAAGCCGAAAUUUCAAUGUUUUACUGAAUAGCGACGGAAUCAGAAGGCACCCAGAGAGCGGCCACAAAUUUGGGCUCUUUGUACCUCUUGUAAAGAAAGGGAACUGCACCUUGAUUAUUAAUCCCACUGAUGCCAAAGACAGCGGGGUUUUUGAAGUUUGGAUGUCACUAGAUGCAGGGCCGGAACUAGGGGUAGGCAUAGUAGGCACGUGCCUAGGGCGCAAAGCUGAGGGGGUGCCAGGCACGUACCUGCUCUGUCGCCUACCCCGUGUCCGGUCCCGUCUGCCGCUGGUGGCUUGCGCUUAAAUGCUCUUCUGCGCAUGUGCACAUAUUUCGCGCAUUGCACAGUCAAGCGCGCACAGAGCCGGCGCCGUGGCCCGCCAGGUUGCCUAGAACGCCUGGCCGGGUUGGCCCUGCUCUGCUAGAUGGCAGGUUGCAUGAAGCCUUUUCCAAAACCAAAAUUACCAUUAAAGACCAAAAGCAAGCCUCAGGUGAGCUCUACAUGCAUCACUUUAUAUUAUUUCUAUUCUUUAUAAUAUGGAUUUAUUGGGUUAUUUAUUCUGAAGAGUAUUAGAAUGUAUUGUCCUUAUUUUGUUUGCAGGAAGGAUAGUGUCAAUAUUGCGGAUGGAGACCACAACUGAUAGUGAGAACGAAAAGGAGAAAGCAAAAUCUACGUCCGAUGAAUCGGAGUCUGAUAAAUCCCAUGAUUGGGAGUCUGAGAAAUCCAAAAAAAAUCAGCCUCAUUGGGUUAUUUGUCUGAUAAAUGUCCCUCUUAUUCUGAAGAGUAUUAGAAUGUAUUGUCCUUAUUUUGUUUGCAGGAAGGAUAGUGUCAAUAUUGCGGAUGGAGACAACAACUGAUAGUGAGAACGAAAAGGAGGAAGAGAAAUCUACGUCCGAUGAAUCAUUGUCUGAUAAAUCUGAUGAUUCGGAGUUUGAUAAAUCUGAUAAAUCCGCCUCAGAAUAUGAAAGCGAAACGAGUUCAGAAGAGGAAUCAAGUGAGAAACCUGGUUAGACGGAUGAAAGUGACUAAGAAGACUUGAAAUGUUUAUUCACCUUCAGCGAAUAUAUUUUCUGAAUAAAUACAUUUAUCAUAUACCAAAAAGAUUUUUGGAAUAAAGUCGUUUUUAUUAUUAGUGACUGAUGUGGUUGGUGAUUUAGAUUAGUGGGAGUUAGAUAUUCAUAGGUUGGGUUUACCCUUGGGUCUAGCCUGUCCUGGCAUUACAUUAUGUUCUACCAUUUAUUUACAUGAUAUUAAUAAUAAACCCUUUUCUUCCGUACAGCAGAAGAAGCGCGAGAUCUGUGCAGCAGUGAUGGCUCCCAGAUACAAUUAUUUCAUCUACAUUUUAAUAAUCAUUGGAAUGUUCAUACAGUCGUUAAAAUGUGCACCAGCUAUGCAAAUCCGAAAUUUCAAUGUUUUGCAAACACACCUGAUCCUGAACUAAAAUGAAACUGGAAUUGGGUAAACUCUCUUUAGAGGAAGGAAGAUACACCCCUCUCAUCCAAUUGAAUAGCGAGGGAAUCAGAAGGAACCCAGAGAUCGGCCACAGAUUUGGGCUCUUUGUAUCUCUUGUAAAGAAAGGCAACUGUACCUUGAUUAACAAUCCCAUCUAUGCCAAAGACACGGGCGUUUAUGAAGUAUGGAUAUCACUAGAUGGCAGGUUGCACAAAGCCUUUUCCAAAACCAAAAUUACCAUUUCAGACCAAAAGCAAGCCUCAGGUGAGCUCUACAUGCAUCACUUUAUACUAUUUAUAUUCUUUAUAAUAUGGAAGUGAUAAUAUUUCUUAUAUAGUUGUGGUGUUGUAAAUACCAGCCGUCACUUACCCGUCUUUCUUUUUAUAUAGGUGCCUCCCGUGCGAACAUUAAACCGACUGUAAUGGCGACAUCCAUUAUGCGUACAACUGCUAAUGAGACGGCCUCAAACCAAACCGAUUUUUUUGUUACGCUGGGGUUUUCUGGAUAACGGAUCUU